rnacentral:rRNA from 1 species
AGCCGUAUCACCCUCAACAUGCCUGAUCUCAUCUGAUUUUGGAAGCUAAGCAGGGUUGGGGCUGGUUAGUACUUGAAUGGGAAACACAGGGAAAUUAUUGAUCAUCUC